UUCAUACUCCCUCCGUUAGGAAAUACUUGUCAUCAAAAUGGAUAAAAAUGGAUGUAUCUAGACAAUUCUAGAUACAUCCCUUUUUAUUCAUUUUGAUGACAAGUAUUUUCGGACGGAGGGAAUACAUA
rfam:Triticum aestivum genome assembly, contig: Triticum_aestivum_CS42_TGACv1_scaffold_328701_4BS